rnacentral:rRNA from 1 species
UUGUGAGGUUAAGCGACUAAGCGUACACGGUGGAUGCCCUGGCAGUCAGAGGCGAUGAAGGACGUGCUAAUCUGCGAUAAGCGUCGGURAGGUGAUAUGAACCGUUAUAACCGGCGAUUUCCGAAUGGGGAAACCCAGUGUGWUUCGWCACACUAUCAUUAACUGAAUCCAUAGGUUAAUGAGGCGAACCGGGGGAACUGAAACAUCUAAGUACCCCGAGGAAAAGAAAUCAACCGAGAUUCCCCCAGUAGCGGCGAGCGAACGGGGAGGAGCCCAGAGCCUGAAUCAGUGUGUGUGUUAGUGGAAGCGUCUGGAAAGGCGCGCGAUACAGGGUGACAGCCCCGUACACAAAAAUGCACAUGCUGUGAGCUCGAUGAGUAGGGCGGGACACGUGGUAUCCUGUCUGAAUAUGGGGGGACCAUCCUCCAAGGCUAAAUACUCCUGACUGACCGAUAGUGAACCAGUACCGUGAGGGAAAGGCGAAAAGAACCCCGGCGAGGGGAGUGAAAAAGAACCUGAAACCGUGUACGUACAAGCAGUGGGAGCCUCUUAAUGGGGUGACUGCGUACCUUUUGUAUAAUGGGUCAGCGACUUAUAUUCUGUAGCAAGGUUAACCGAAUAGGGGAGCCGAAGGGAAACCGAGUCUUAACUGGGCGUUAAGUUGCAGGGUAUAGACCCGAAACCCGGUGAUCUAGCCAUGGGCAGGUUGAAGGUUGGGUAACACUAACUGGAGGACCGAACCGACUAAUGUUGAAAAAUUAGCGGAUGACUUGUGGCUGGGGGUGAAAGGCCAAUCAAACCGGGAGAUAGCUGGUUCUCCCCGAAAGCUAUUUAGGUAGCGCCUCGUGAAUUCAUCUCCGGGGGUAGAGCACUGUUUCGGCAAGGGGGUCAUCCCGACUUACCAACCCGAUGCAAACUGCGAAUACCGGAGAAUGUUAUCACGGGAGACACACGGCGGGUGCUAACGUCCGUCGUGAAGAGGGAAACAACCCAGACCGCCAGCUAAGGUCCCAAAGUCAUGGUUAAGUGGGAAACGAUGUGGGAAGGCCCAGACAGCCAGGAUGUUGGCUUAGAAGCAGCCAUCAUUUAAAGAAAGCGUAAUAGCUCACUGGUCGAGUCGGCCUGCGCGGAAGAUGUAACGGGGCUAAACCAUGCACCGAAGCUGCGGCAGCGACACUAUGUGUUGUUGGGUAGGGGAGCGUUCUGUAAGCCUGUGAAGGUGGCCUGUGAGGGUUGCUGGAGGUAUCAGAAGUGCGAAUGCUGACAUAAGUAACGAUAAAGCGGGUGAAAAGCCCGCUCGCCGGAAGACCAAGGGUUCCUGUCCAACGUUAAUCGGGGCAGGGUGAGUCGACCCCUAAGGCGAGGCCGAAAGGCGUAGUCGAUGGGAAACAGGUUAAUAUUCCUGUACUUGGUGUUACUGCGAAGGGGGGACGGAGAAGGCUAUGUUGGCCGGGCGACGGUUGUCCCGGUUUAAGCGUGUAGGCUGGUUUUCCAGGCAAAUCCGGAAAACCAAGGCUGAGGCGUGAUGACGAGGCACUACGGUGCUGAAGUGACAAAUGCCCUGCUUCCAGGAAAAGCCUCUAAGCAUCAGGUAACAUCAAAUCGUACCCCAAACCGACACAGGUGGUCAGGUAGAGAAUACCAAGGCGCUUGAGAGAACUCGGGUGAAGGAACUAGGCAAAAUGGUGCCGUAACUUCGGGAGAAGGCACGCUGAUAUGUAGGUGAAGCGACUUGCUCGUGGAGCUGAAAUCAGUCGAAGAUACCAGCUGGCUGCAACUGUUUAUUAAAAACACAGCACUGUGCAAACACGAAAGUGGACGUAUACGGUGUGACGCCUGCCCGGUGCCGGAAGGUUAAUUGAUGGGGUUAGCGGUAACGCGAAGCUCUUGAUCGAAGCCCCGGUAAACGGCGGCCGUAACUAUAACGGUCCUAAGGUAGCGAAAUUCCUUGUCGGGUAAGUUCCGACCUGCACGAAUGGCGUAAUGAUGGCCAGGCUGUCUCCACCCGAGACUCAGUGAAAUUGAACUCGCUGUGAAGAUGCAGUGUACCCGCGGCAAGACGGAAAGACCCCGUGAACCUUUACUAUAGCUUGACACUGAACAUUGAGCCUUGAUGUGUAGGAUAGGUGGGAGGCUUUGAAGUGUGGACGCCAGUCUGCAUGGAGCCGACCUUGAAAUACCACCCUUUAAUGUUUGAUGUUCUAACGUUGGCCCCUAAUCGGGGUUGCGGACAGUGUCUGGUGGGUAGUUUGACUGGGGCGGUCUCCUCCUAAAGAGUAACGGAGGAGCACGAAGGUUGGCUAAUCCUGGUCGGACAUCAGGAGGUUAGUGCAAUGGCAUAAGCCAGCUUGACUGCGAGCGUGACGGCGCGAGCAGGUGCGAAAGCAGGUCAUAGUGAUCCGGUGGUUCUGAAUGGAAGGGCCAUCGCUCAACGGAUAAAAGGUACUCCGGGGAUAACAGGCUGAUACCGCCCAAGAGUUCAUAUCGACGGCGGUGUUUGGCACCUCGAUGUCGGCUCAUCACAUCCUGGGGCUGAAGUAGGUCCCAAGGGUAUGGCUGUUCGCCAUUUAAAGUGGUACGCGAGCUGGGUUUAGAACGUCGUGAGACAGUUCGGUCCCUAUCUGCCGUGGGCGCUGGAGAACUGAGGGGGGCUGCUCCUAGUACGAGAGGACCGGAGUGGACGCAUCACUGGUGUUCGGGUUGUCAUGCCAAUGGCACUGCCCGGUAGCUAAAUGCGGAAGAGAUAAGUGCUGAAAGCAUCUAAGCACGAAACUUGCCCCGAGAUGAGUUCUCCCUGAGACUUAGAGUCUCCUGAAGGAACGUUGAAGACGACGACGUUGAUAGGCCGGGUGUGUAAGCGCAGCGAUGCGUUGAGCUAACCGGUACUAAUGAACCGUGAGGCUUAACCUUACAACGCCGAAG